rnacentral:rRNA from 1 species
AUGCCGGUGAUGUUCGUCCCCUCCAGUGACAGCCGGCUGGCAGCAGUGGCCGUAGACGGCCUUCAGAAUCUGGUGCCUGCCAAUCGCGAGGGCAACGUGUCUAAUGAAAACAAGGAGCAGAAUUUUUGUUCCUGGUUGUUGUUCCUGACAUCACUGGCUGCCACCGUGACCUUCACAGCGGGGCUCACCCCACCCAGUGGUUUCUGGUCCACGGACGACAAGGACAAGAAAUACUUCGCUGGUGACCCGGUCAUGGACACCAAAUCUCCCACAAGGUAUGCCGCCUUUUACAUGAGCAACGCAUUCGCCUUCUUCACGUCCUUAAUGAUCAUCGCGUCCCUCGCCAAGAACAGGAAUAGGGAGAAGAUCAUGACUAUUCCUUUCACACUCCUUGUAGUACUUUGUUUCCUAAGCCUAGGAUCUGCCUAUGUCAGCGGCACCUGGAUCAAAGUCGGGAAAAGGAGAUCGGGGGUCACACCACACGCAUCCUUCUCUCCCCUCCUCUCCCCCAGAAACGAGAACUGCUUCUCGUCAUCCCCAAUCCGACCGCCGCCGCCGCCCCAACCCCAACCCCCCCGCCGGCGGCCUCCUCCUCCCCUAGCGCCGCCGCUCCAACCCUUCACCUUCUAUCUCUAUCCCUACUCUAUUCCAAGGGAGGGAAAGCCCCGUAUCGCGCGACAAGGUGAGGGGGUGCCCAAAUCCGCAGCGGCACCACCACGCCCUCAUCCACCUGGUCCUCGUGGUUGGCCAUGGAGGUCUGACCCGACCCAUGGAUGGAUGGGGGCAAAACCCUAG